rnacentral:rRNA from 1 species
GUCUAUAGCCAUACCACCCUGAAUGCACCUGAUCUCGUCUGAUCUUGGAUGCUAAGUAGUGUUGGUCCUGGUUAAUACUUGGAUGGGAGAUGUCAGACUUGGAACUACAGGAU